rnacentral:rRNA from 1 species
UACGUAGGGUGCAAGCGUUAAUCGGAAUUACUGGGCGUAAAGCGUGCGCAGGCGGUUCUAUAAGACAGAUGUGAAAUCCCCGGGCUCAACCUGGGAACUGCAUUUGUGACUGUAGAGCUGGAGUACGGUAGAGGGGGAUGGAAUUCCGCGUGUAGCAGUGAAAUGCAUAGAUAUGCAGAGGAACACCGAUGGCGAAGGCAAUCCCCUAGACCUGUACUGACGCUCAUGCACGAAAGCGUGGGGAGCAAACAGG